GCUACAAAGCUGGCCUUGUUGCUUAGACAUGUGCAGAAUAGAAAUAUUGUAAAGCUUUAGAGAACAGAUGGCCAGAGAUUUCAGAAAUUAUAAACAUCGGCUUUCUGCUUUGGACUGGUCAGCAUUAGGCCUAGAGGUCAUAUUCAAGCUGCUCUGAGUUUUCCUGCAACAUUUGGACUUAGCAUGACUCUUCAGUCUCAUAGGGCUUCCUGUAAGGAUCUAUCCUUGGUCGUUCAGCGAUCCAACGGCGUGCCAUGACUAUCUAGUUACAGGAAAGCGUUGCUGCAGAGGACUCUAGCACAUCACUAGCAAAGGAAUAAGACAGCUGUACCGAGAUGAAUUUUGCUUACUUUGGAUCUUUGUUUCAUUCUGGGUUGCAGGGAUGAGGCUUGGUUAUCUUGACAGUUGGCAUCGCUGUGUCAAUGACAGAUCACACUUGAUUAUGACCUUCUGAUUACUCGCACUUUUUUUUUCCUGACUGAUAUUUGGAGAUCAAGAAACACUGAAUGAAUCCAAAAUGAUUUUUUGGGUGCAGACAGACUUAAAAUAUGACAGGGAAGAUCAUCAAUAGUGGAGGAUGUUUCGAAGGAAGCAAAUUCUUCAGAACUAUUUUCUCUUCUUUUACUUCUCCCCGAACACAGCAGAGCUUCAGCAUUAGCCAACUGCUGUAACAUUUGAGACUGUCAGACUUUGGGAUGUAUCAAGAAACAUGAAUUAUACUGCUGUCUUCACACAGCUUAUGGGAAGCAAGGAAUGUCUACGUGAACUACUAUGUAUUUCAUCCUGUCAGCAGGCCGACAAGGUUCCAAAAAUGUGGGACUAGUUGGGGAAAAGUUGAGCAAAGACAAGAAACUGCAUGGCUGAGAGCUUUGGAAGUGAAGGGAUCACUCAGGGUUCAUUCUGAAAGGAUUUGAGUAAUUUCUGAAGUCUCCCAAAGAAAAAAAGAUAAGUAUCUUGUGAGAAAUAGAAAAGAAUUUUGGAGUGAAGCUUCAUGUAGAAGUUUUCCUGGGCUGUGCAAGGAGAAGGCUGUGUUCUUGUGACACUCACCAUAUUCUGACUAUUUUUCACUUCCUGAUAUUUAAUAGAGCUGGUUCUGAGGAAAGCGAUGGAUCUGCCAUCUAGCUUGUGAUUGAAUCUUCUUGAGCUUUUCAUGACAUUGUUUCUUCAGAUGCGCAACACCUGCCCCUGCUGCGCAAAGGGUAAAGAAGUAUUUGGUGACCCAGGGCAAGGGACAGGGCAGCCUCAGUCUCAGGGUGUUUUACUGACAGAUUAGAGAAUGGGACAAAGACCUAGUGAAAAUAAGAAGAGAAAUGUGGGUCAAAAGAAAACAGGAGAAACUGCAGUGAAUUUAUGAAGAGCUGAAGAUCCAGCAUGCACUGUGAAGCUUUUUGCUUAGCAGUCAGUGGAGAUAAACUUUACAUUUCAAAGACAGCAGGAUGAGAGGCCAGAUUAACAGUGGAGGAAGUGAAAUAAAAUUUUUUUGAGCCUUCAAUAAUGCAGGAUCAGAAGAGUUUGCCGUGAUAGCAUAUUUAACAUACUUUAGAAGCCAAUUGCAGGAUACUUUGUGGCACUACCGAGAUCAGAGAAGACUUCAGGAACCCUAGAGGAGAGCAGAAAUAGAAAAAACUUCAAGAAAUCUCAAAAUCCUUGUAGGUGACUGAGAGAAGGAAUUAAAUAUGAAAUGUAAACCACUGGUGUGAAUAUGUAGAUUUUAGUUUUGUGGCAAAUUGGACAUUCUGAUUUUGCAUUUUUUAGCCAAAAAAAGUUAUUGAGCUCUGUGAAAACACAAUUAGAUAAAAUGUUGUGAAGAUUAAUUAUAAAUUUAGCACUGGGAGAAACAAUAAACAUCUUUUACGAAAAGAAAUAAGUAGCUAAGUGAAAUCUGUGUUUUCCUGGA